rfam:Flavobacterium flevense strain DSM 1076 genome assembly, contig: Ga0131122_121
CCCUAGCCCCGAUAGUAGCGGCAUCCUCUUGUUUCGUCCCUAAGACGAGACAAGAGAUAUAGCGGAUAGCGGGAAAGAGC